CAUGGUGGUAACGGGUAACGGGGUGUUAGGGCACGACACCGGAGAGGGAGCCUGAGAAACGGCUACCACAUCCAAGGAUGGCAGCAGGCGCGCAAAUUACCCAAUCCCGACACGGGGAGGUAGUGACAAUAAAUAACAAUACGGGGUUCUUUCGGAUCUCGUAAUUGGAAUGAGUACAAUUUAAAUCUCUUAACGAGGAACAAUUGGAGGGCAAGUCUGGUGCCAGCAGCCGCGGUAAUUCCAGCUCCAAUAGCGUAUAUUAAAGUUGUUGCAGUUAAAAAGCUCGUAGUUGAAUUUCGGGGUUAGUAGGUUGGUCAUGCCUCUGGUAUGUACUGGUCUCACUGAUUCCUCCUUCCUUAUGAACCGUAAUGCCAUUAAUUUGGUGUUGCGGGGAAUUUGGACUGUUACUUUGAAAAAAUUAGAGUGUUUAAAGCAAGCUAACGCUUGAAUACAUUAGCGUGGAAUAAUGAAAUAGGACGUUCGAUCUUAUUUUGUUGGUUUCUAGGAUUGACGUAAUGAUUAAUAGGGAUAGUUGGGGGCAUUAGUAUUCAAUUGUCAGAGGUGAAAUUCUUGGAUUUAUUGAAGACUAACUACUGCGAAAGCAUUUGCCAAGGAUGUUUUCAUUAAUCAAGAACGAAAGUUAGGGGAUCGAAGACGAUCAGAUACCGUCGUAGUCUUAACCAUAAACUAUGCCGACUAGGGAUCGGA
rnacentral:rRNA from 1 species